UACGUAGGGUGCAAGCGUUGUCCGGAAUCACUGGGCUUAAAGGGCGCGUAGGCGGGCUCGCCAGUCAGGGGUGAAAGCCCACGGCUUAACCGUGGAAGUGCCUCUGAUACUGCGGGUCUCGAGGGAGGUAGGGGCGUGCGGAACUUCCGGUGGAGCGGUGAAAUGCGUAGAGAUCGGCAGGAACACCCAGGGGGAAACCAGCCGACUGGGCAUCAACUGACGCUGAGGUGCGAGAGCGUGGGGAGCGAACCGG
rnacentral:rRNA from 1 species